AGCUAAACCAGACAGAAAUGGAAAUACUUUUUGGCGUGUUCUGCGAGAAAAGAUUGCUUCGACGUUCCCUCCUCGCAAUAACGAUUAAUAGAAAAGGUAACCGGCCAAAAAGAUUGUAAUGAAUGGCGGGGCUGAUG
rnacentral:sRNA from 1 species